rnacentral:tRNA from 1 species
ACCUGGGUGGCUCAGUUGAUUAAACGUCUGACUUUGGCUCAGGUCAUAAUCUCAACAGUUUGUGGGUUCGAGCCCCACCUCGGGUU